UACAGAGGUCUCAAGCGUUGUUCGGAUUCAUUGGGCGUAAAGGGUGCGUAGGCGGCGCGGUAAGUCGGGUGUGAAAUCUUGGAGCUUAACUCCGAAACUGCAUUCGAUACUGCCGUGCUUGAGGACUGGAGAGGAGACUGGAAUUUACGGUGUAGCGGUGAAAUGCGUAGAUAUCGUAAGGAAGACCAGUGGCGAAGGCGGGUCUCUGGACAGUUCCUGACGCUGAGGCACGAAGGCCAGGGAGCAAACGGG
rnacentral:rRNA from 1 species